CGUACACUCCUGCGGGAGGCAGCAGUGGGGAAUAUUGGACAAUGGGCGCAAGCCUGAUCCAGCCAUGCCGCGUGAGUGAUGAAGGCCCUAGGGUUGUAAAGCUCUUUCACCGGUGAAGAUAAUGACGGUAACCGGAGAAGAAGCCCCGGCUAACUUCGUGCCAGCAGCCGCGGUAAUACGAAGGGGGCUAGCGUUGUUCGGAUUUACUGGGCGUAAAGCGCACGUAGGCGGACUAUUAAGUCAGGGGUGAAAUCCCGGGGCUCAACCCCGGAACUGCCUUUGAUACUGGUAGUCUUGAGUUCGAGAGAGGUGAGUGGAAUUCCGAGUGCAGAGGUGAAAUUCGUAGAUAUUCGGAGGAACACCAGUGGCGAAGGCGGCUCACUGGCUCGAUACUGACGCUGAGGUGCGAAAGCGUGGGGAGCAAACAGGAUUAGAAACCCCGGUAGUCCCAUG
rnacentral:rRNA from 1 species